CCCUUAGAUGUUCUGGGCCGCACGCGCGCUACACUGACGAAUGCAACGAGCUUAUAACCUUGGCCGAAAGGUCUGGGUAAUCUCCAAAUUUCGUCGUGAUGGGGAUAGAUUAUUGCAAUUAUUAAUCUUCAACGAGGAAUGCCUAGUAAGCGCAAGUCAUCAGCUUGCGUUGAUUACGUCCCUACCCUUUGUACACACCGCCCGUCGCUCCUACCGAUUGAAUGGUCCGGUGAAGCGUUCGGACCGUGGCCUUUGGACGGUUCGCCGUCUGUUGGCUGCGGGAAGUUCGUUAAACCUUAUCAUUUAGAGGAAGGAGAANUCGUANCA
rnacentral:rRNA from 1 species